UGCAAUAUAGGUAUCAUUAUUACUCAUAUUGAUGAGUAGAUUGUGAUUUUGAUAGUGUGAUGACAUUUUGGGAUUCUAAAUAAAGAUAGGCAUUUGGUGAAUGAUGUAAGGAUUUAUAGUUUGGCUUUGAGGUGGGCUUCUGUCUACUCUUCUCUGUAAGAUGAUGCAUGUUAUAUAUUGCGUGGGAAUGUGAAUGUUAAGUUUCAUUUUGGGUAGAUUGAAUUAG
rnacentral:lncRNA from 1 species